rfam:Brassica oleracea var. oleracea cultivar TO1000 chromosome C7, whole genome shotgun sequence
AAGCCAUGAUGAGGACAUUGAGAGAUGUAGCUGUUGAACCUUUCAUGCUUCUCCAAAGCUUUCAAGAUUCCGUUGAUGAAAUCCAAAGAUUUCAUUCCUUAGCUU